AGCAUGCAGGUUGGCCAGAGGACUUUGCAUCCCCUAAGAACCUGACUGCCAGAGUGAAUGUCCAGCCUCAGCAACAGCUUUGCCAGCGUGGGCUUCUUUGAUCACACCCUACCACAACUAGGAGACCUAAACCUUGCUCACUGACAGCAUUUGAAGAUGCAAAUACUGCUAUGGAUUGGAAGGUGCCUGAGGAAUGAAAGGGGACAUAGCCAUUAUGAACCACCUCGUGAGAUUUUAGGGAAGAAAGACCAUAGUGAUUGCAUCUAUUAAGAAGUCCUUACUGACCUGCAUGGUGAGGCUUGUGUGAAAUUUCAGCAUGCGGGAGAUUGAGACAGAAGGAUCACAAGUUCAAGGCCACCCUAGGCUAUGUAUCAAGAGCUUGUUUUGAACAAAGGAAAAAGAAAAAAGAAACGGCAGUACAUAAUUUCUCGUAAGUCCAUGGUAAUUUGUUACAGUAGCCCCAGGGCUCUCCUUGGAGAUGAAGUAGAAGCCUGGGUCUAAAGAUACUUUGGGGUCUAGUUUUAUCGCUCAGGCUGGUUCUGAACUCCUGCAGUUUCUUGCUUCAUCCUCGCUGGAGGUGAGACCACAGACAGCAUUAUGCCUGGCACCGACCUGGUUUCAACUCUGCUUCUAAG
ensembl:processed_transcript F730043M19Rik RIKEN cDNA F730043M19 gene